UGUUCGACAAGAAUUUUAAUGCUAUAAAACGAAGAAAAACUCGACAUUCUUAUUGUGGGGAAAGCAGAUGCCCAUACUUCAACUGUCGAAUCAUCUACUGUCGAAAAAACAACUAACAAAAAUGGUCUAACUAUGGUUUAGAUGAAGAAGAAUUGCUAAAAAAGGAUAAGACCUCACAUGGAAACACUGAAUCAUGUCUAUUCGGAGAAAAGUUUAUUGUAUUCCAGAGCUGCUUAUUAGAAAUUUUCAAAAGUUGCCAUGUAUGCCAGAAAGAAGCUUAGCCAUCUAUCACUGAAAGGAGAGUGGUACUAUGAUCACAUUGGAGGUCAUAUGACUGUAUGUAUCAAUGGACAUCACAUAAUUUGGAAUACUAACCAUGCCAUGGCCUUAUGUCUUGGGGGAAUAUGCUUUUAACAGCAUCAAAACUGCUCACUGGAAGUAAUCCAGCAAUGGUUAUCAUUUUUUUCAAGCACAUUGGGGUUUAGGACAUACUAUUACAUACAAAGGUUGUACCUUAUUCCAGCUAUUGAUCAAACAUAGCUGGCAGAGCAAUAUGAGAUUUGACAAGUGUUGAGGGUGAUUUUGUUGAUCUUGGUAGGAAUGGGAGAUGUGACUCACCUGGCCAUGAUUUGUGSAAAAUAUAGAGCAUACCACAUGUUGUCACAGUACAGAAUUGUACAGAAUUUCACAUGCUUUACUUGUGAAUGAAUUCAUUUGUUUGGAUUUAAUAAAAUAUGAAAGUUUAA